CUGGGAGGACCAUCUCCUAAGGCUAAAUACUCUCUAGUGACCGAUAGUGAACCAGUACCGUGAGGGAAAGGUGAAAAGCACCCCGGAAGGGGAGUGAAAUAGAACCUGAAACCGUGUGCUUACAAGUAGUCAGAGCCCGUUAAUGGGUGAUGGCGUGCCUUUUGUAGAAUGAACCGGCGAGUUACGAUUUGAUGCAAGGUUAAGCAGUAAAUGUGGAGCCGUAGCGAAAGCGAGUCUGAAUAGGGCGUUUAGUAUUUGGUCGUAGACCCGAAACCAGGUGAUCUACCCUUGGUCAGGUUGAAGUUCAGGUAACACUGAAUGGAGGACCGAACCGACUUACGUUGAAAAGUGAGCGGAUGAACUGAGGGUAGCGGAGAAAUUCCAAUCGAACCUGGAGAUAGCUGGUUCUCUCCGAAAUAGCUUUAGGGCUAGCCUCAAGUGAUGAUUAUUGGAGGUAGAGCACUGUUUGGACGAGGGGCCCCUCUCGGGUUACCGAAUUCAGACAAACUCCGAAUGCCAAUUAAUUUAACUUGGGAGUCAGAACAUGGGUGAUAAGGUCCGUGUUCGAAAGGGAAACAGCCCAGACCACCAGCUAAGGUCCCAAAAUAUAUGUUAAGUGGAAAAGGAUGUGGCGUUGCCCAGACAACUAGGAUGUUGGCUUAGAAGCAGCCAUCAUUUAAAGAGUGCGUAAUAGCUCACUAGUCGAGUGACACUGCGCCGAAAAUGUACCGGGGCUAAACAUAUUACCGAAGCUGUGGAUUGUCCUUUGGACA
rnacentral:rRNA from 1 species